AGUACAAAUUCACACCAACAAGCCUCGACCUUGUUAUCUUCUUGGAUCAUCACUUUAAAGGAAAAGUCGUGCUUUAAAUACAGCAAAAUAAAGAUAAAAGCAAUAUGAUAUAAAUAUAUUUUUAAUUUACUAAUAUUUCUUCUAUUUCAGAAUAUAAAAGGUCCACCAUACGAAGAAGUACAGGGAAAAGUCGCGCUUUAAGUACAGCAAAGUAAAGAUUAAAGAAGUCCGCCCGUAAAAUUAAGUCAAUGGAAAAUCGGGCUUGGAGAACCGCAAGUAAAAAGCUAUAAUGGCCUAAAGGGGAGCCAGCCAUUUAAAACAAUUGGCAACGCGCCUAUCACGGUACCCCAAGGAUGAUGCGGAAAACCAUGCUCUGUACAUUCUUGUACUUUGCGGUUGUGUGGAAAAAGCUUUCGAUCUGGCUCAACGCCAUAACAAAUUAAAACUUCAUGGCGAACUGUUAGAACGUUACUAAAAUGCCAAAUCAAGUGAUUAUCUAGCAUUGGCUCAAUAUUUUGAAAGUGAAAAGAAUACUUUGCUGGCAGGCAAAUAUUAUUUCUUGGCCAGAGAGUUUACGAAAGCUUUGAGAUUUUUAUUGAAGGCAGAUGCUUUUAAUAACGAAGAGUCACAGGUUUUAUCGACGACAAUUGACUGCGUUGCCAUGUCCAACAAUGAAAAUUUGCAACUCAACUAAUAGUGUUUCUUCUAGGCGAAGUGGAUGGUUCACCGAAAGAUCCGCGUUAUUUAUUCCGAUUGUAUAUGGCUAGGCGGCACUAUACGGAUGUGGCAAAAACGGCUGCAAUUAUAGGCAAUCAAGAACAGUUGACGGACAACUAUAAAAUUGUACGCGGUCUAUUAUUUUCUAUGUAUCAAGAAUUAAGGCGCAAUAAUUUGGCGGUAACAUCCGACAUGAGGCACAAUCUCAUUCUCUUGCACCGCUACCACCAAUUUGAUAUUGAUACUCGAUUGAAAUCUCGUACGAAGGGAACCAUAGUUAAUGAAAUGUUGAUCAAUCUUCCUUAGGUGGAUCUUAUACGAAGAGAAAAUAGCAUGAAAUUAACCCUAACUGCCACGAAUGCUCGAGAUUUUUAUACGCUUGAUGGACAUAAGAACGAGUUGGAAUAAUGUUUCCGGUUUUCAAGAAAUCCAUUAGUCUCUCCUUAACCAUGAAGUUGAUAAUCUUUAUGAAUACGGAUACUAGCGAAAUUGGUCUGAA